CUUCCUACGCUUGCAGUACUGCUCCUUUGGCAUGAAACUGUACCAUUAUAAUUUUCUCCCUAUCCACAUCCAAAACCCCACCACAAGCUCCCAUUGGAGGUGUUUGAUCCUACAUAUCCUCCUAAGAUUCAUAGGUUAUCUGAUGUCCUACAAAAAAAGUGAAUGUUGCAGGGAAUUCAAAGCCUUCCCAUUCAUGUCAUAUGUGAAGGG
rnacentral:lncRNA from 1 species